UUUGUUUUUUAAUUAAAAACUAGAAUGAAAGGUUUAUACAUUUAAAUUUCUUUAUUAAUUUUUUAUAUAUAAUUUAUAUUAAAUAUAAAAAUAUAUUUUUUAAAUAAAAAGACGAUAAGACCCUAUUAAAUUUUACUUAUAGUUUAACUGGGGAAGUUUUAAAAAUAAAAUUUUUUAUAAAAAUAAAAAUAAAUCUAAUAAAAUUAAAAUUAAAUUAAAUUACUAUAGGGAUAACAGCAUUAUAUUUUUUAAAAGUUCAUAUUAAAAAAAAUGAUUGUGACCUCGAUGUUGAAUUAUAUUUUCUUUAUUAAUGCAAUAAUUAUAAAAGUAGAUCUGUUCGAUCUUUAAAAUAUUACAUGAUUUGAGUUCAAACCGGUGUAAACCAGGUUGGUUUCUAUCUUUUUAUAAAUUCAUAUAUAUAUGUAUAUAUAUAAAUUUUUCAAGUACGAAAGGAAAAAAAAAUUUUUAUUUUAAUUAAUUAGCAAUUAAUAUGCAUUAGAUUUAGAAUCUAAAUAAACUAUU
rnacentral:rRNA from 1 species